AGGCAGCAGUGAGGAAUAUUGGUCAAUGGGCGCGAGCCUGAACCAGCCAAGUAGCGUGCGGGAGGAAGGCCCUAUGGGUUGUAAACCGCUUUUACCGGGGGAUAAAGUGAGCGACGUGUCGCUCAUUGCAGGUACCCGGCGAAUAAGGACCGGCUAAUUCC
rnacentral:rRNA from 1 species